rnacentral:RNase_P_RNA from 1 species
GAGUGGGCCGGGCAAUCGCGCGUGCAUACGUGAGGAAAGUCCGGGCUCCAAAGGGCAAGAUGCCAGCUAACGGCUGGGCGGGGCGACCCGACGGAAAGUGCCACAGAAAAGAAGACUCCCUCGCCUUGUGCGAGAGAAAAGCUGAAACGGUGCGGUAAGAGCGCACCAGCGCGUCGGUAACGGCGCGGCUUGGCAAACCCCAUCUGGAGCAAGCGCAAAUAGGAACGCUCUACGGCCGCCCUUCCGUGCGUUCGGGUUGCGUGCUUGAGCCUUGCGGUGACGCAAGGUCGAGAUAAAUGGUUGCCGACCACAGAACCCGGCUUAUAGGCCCACUCU